UUGGCUGGCUCCUCUAUCCAGGACAGGAAAAGGGUUGGGGUGGAUGGGAGGCGGGACCGCCCGCACUGGCAGAUGCAAGAGAACACCAGCAGCCCGACCGGAGUCGGUAGCUGGCGGAUGAUAGUUUUAGUGCUAUGGAAUUUUGAAUGUCGCGUAGGAUUAACCAAAAGUCCCACAUGGGGCCUACAUCAAUAGCGAAAAACCAAUUCCGUCUCCUAGGCUGAAUAACUUCCACUUUGAUUGUGGUGGUCGCAACGGGCGCCCUCUUUCGGCGAAUGACACAUGGUUAAACGAGGAAAUGAAAACAAUAUGUUCAAAAGGCGGCGUUUGGUGUGUGUAUCCAAUUAUAACAGCAGCAGUUGGCAAGGACGAGGUUAUCUAUAUUAUCAUCUAUUGCCGUGACCCAGGCAGGGCGUGUCGAGCUCCAGCACAGCUGUCUAGACCAUUAACAUAAUUUCUGAAUGCAGUCGAACUGCCUAUAGACCGUCUCAUCCUCCUAUAAAAACAUAAUACGCAUGCGAAAUGAAGCACCCCAUUAAUUCCUGGGAGCACGGUGUCAAAAGUUCCCGCCGUAAUAGAGUAAUCGUUCCUGAUUGCUCACAGCUGUGGAAAAGAUGGUAAUAAUGGGUAACCAAGCAGGAGAAAUACCACCAUGUAGUCGUUGUUUUGUAUAUAACAGACUACCUGGAAACAUAACAAAGAUUCCCGGCCGGUUUUACGAUCAGAAGAGGACUGUAUAAACACAAGACUAGCCUAUACUAAAAAGAGGCAAGACGUAGCCCAGUGGUAAAUCACUCACUUGAUGCG